rnacentral:lncRNA from 1 species
UUUGGCUGCUGUUAGUACUGCUCACUCAGUGUUGUUUCAAACCACUGCUGUUGUUUGCAGGGAUAGCCAAAGAAAUGGCCAUGAAUGGAAUAUCUCCAGAGGUUGCCUCAUUCAGACUCUGAGCAUAAUAGCUUAAGUAUUUACUUCAGAUUUUGGAGAAGAGGAAAAAGCAUAGCAGGAGAACAUCAGCAGAUGUGUGAGAAGGACAAUUACAGGUUUCCAGGUGGAGAGAGAAAAUAGCAUUUGAGGAUUUUUUUAAAUGCCUGGGCAUUGAUUUAUUCUCCAUUGUGCCUGGACAAGAACCAAUAGGUGGACAAGAACCAAUGGGUGGAAAUUCGUCAGAGGGAGACCCAACCUGGAAAUAAGGAGGAAUUUCCGGACAGUGAGAACCAUUAAGCAGUGGAACAGCUUCCCUCCCGAUGUUGUGGGUGCCCCAUCGCUGGAGGUUUUCAAGAAAAGAUUGGACAGCCAUGUGUCCGGAAUGGUAUGAGGUCUCGUGCCUUGGGCAGGGGGUUGGACUAGAAGACCUCCAAGGUCCCUUCCAA